AUUUUAUUAUAUUUAUUUUUUGUUUAUUUAAUUAUUUAAUAUAAAUAAUUUUAUUGUAUUUUUGUCUUAGUAUAUUUUAUAGAAUUGAUUUUUUAAAUUAUAGUUUAUUGGUAAUGUAAGUGUUUUAUGAAAUAUUAUUUUAAAUUUUUUUAAGUAGAUUUUAUUUAUUGUACCUUUUGUAUCAGGGUUUAUCAAAAUUUUAGUAUUUAUUUUACUUGUCUCGAUUUGGGUUGAUUUAUAAAUAAUUUAUAGUUAAUGUAUCAUAAUUAUUAUUAAAUUAUUUAUAGAAAUGAGAUGUUAAUCGUUUCCCAAGAUAUCUAGUUUCUUAAGAAAAAAUUUAAUUUUUUAAAGUUAUUCGUUUUUAUUUAAUUUUUUAAGUAAAAAUAUUAACUUAUUUAUUCUUUAAGGGAUAAGCUUUGAAGUUAAUAACCUAUAAUUUAUUUUAUAGAAAUAUAAUAGUAAGCUUUAAACCAGCUAUCUUUAAGAUUACGUUUUAGUUCAUUAUUUUUUAUUUUGAUUUUAUAAAUAUUUUAGGUUUUUUAUUAAGAUUAUUAAUUUAAUUUUAAAAUUUUUGUAAUAAUGAUAGAAUUAGUAUAUUUAUUUGUAUGAAAUUUUUACCUUGUGAACUUAUUAUAAGGAACUAGGCAAAAUUGAUUUCCGCCUGUUUAUCAAAAACAUGUCCUCUUGUUUAUAUUUUGAGGUCUGGCCUGCUCACUGAGCGUAUUUUUAAAGAGCCGCGGUAUUUUGACCGUGCAAAGGUAGCAUAAUCAUUAGUCUCUUAUUUAGUGGCUGGAAUGAAUGGCUUGACGAGAAAUCAACUGUCUCUUAAUAAAUUUUUGAAUUUAACUUUUGAGUCAAAAGGCUUAAAUUCUUCUUUAGGACGAGAAGACCCUAUAGAGCUUGACAUUUUACUUUUAUAUAGUUUUUUGUUUGUCUUUCUAUAUUUAAUGAUGAUGUUUUGUUGGGGUGACAUGAAGAAUAGAUAAACUCUUCAUUAUUAUAUCAUUUAUUUAUGUUUGUUAUUUUGAUCCAUAAUUUAUGAUCAUAAGAUUAAGUUACCUUAGGGAUAACAGCGUAAUUGUUUUUGAGAGCUCAUAUCGACAAAGCAGAUUGCGACCUCGAUGUUGGAUUAAGAAAAAUUUUGGGUGCAGGAGCCCAAUGAUUAGGUCUGUUCGACCUUUAAAUUCUUACAUGAUCUGAGUUCAGACCGGCGUGAGCCAGGUCGGUUUCUAUCCUAAGAUUGUUAAUCCAUAUUAGUACGAUAGGACCAUAUGGUUAAAAUAUUUUCUGUUAUAUUGAUUAAUAUUAAUUUAUUUA